UUUUUAUGAUGUUGUCCUUAGUUGGAGACUGCUAGUGAUUCUCCUCCUCAGGCUACUCUUUGAAAAGCUGUAAGGUGGUAUCAGCUUUAUCGUGGUUGGCUGAGGAAGGAUUUGUACAAGUAAAUGUUCUCUGCCGUAUUGUCAUUCCUAGGGCCGUCUGGUCUUGUAGUACCCUGAAGGUGAGGGAUUAGAUUAUGCUCUGAAUUUGUAUGCCCAUAGUUUGAGGAAAUGUUUUACUUGACUUCUCUGUGUGUUGAGAUGAAAGUCUCCCAGGCUAAAGAUUUCUGAACUGCACACAAUGCCUGAAGAAGCGCUUGAAAGGCACUUUAUUUCUCCCAGGUCCCCAACCAUGGGUUUAGGUUUUUAUGCCAGAAAGGGGACCUUCAUGAACAAAGACCCCCAAGACCUAGAGAGAAGAGGAAGUCUGAAAGAGGGAGGUUUGAAUUUAGCCUUCAGGAAUGAAGAGGGCAGACAGAGCAGGAGGCUCAGGCAAGGGAGUCAGGAACCACAGACCAGAAACAUGGACUUGGAAAGGUUUUCAUGUAAUUGAAAUGAAGCUAUUGAUUCAUCCAUUUUAAAAGAAUUUGAAAAAUUCAUUAAAAUACUUAAUUAGUGGCAUCCACUAAUAAAUAAAAGCAUAGGGAGUGGCAUCUUUAACCAAAAAUGAAAAUGAAGAAACAGACUCCAGCCCAGGGACCAGGGGCGAUUAUGAGGGACAUGGUGCCUCAUACAGCCAAGAUGAUCCAAGAGGCAUCAUCUUUAUGAAGCUUUAACACCUGGCAGCCUGCUCAUUGUGUUGUUUAAGAGCAACAUCCCUAAUCCUGACCAGCCAUGGAGAGGUUCGGUUCUUACAAGGAAAAUGAGUGAAUGUGGGAAUGGCUCACCACAUUGUGAAAACAAAACUCACAUCCUGCUGAUGGUUGGCUGAGGACUGUCAUGUCCACAUACAAAGAAAAGCAUGUGGCACAGUUUUAGGACAAAGGUGAGCAGAGAUCCACCGUGGAAAGGGGCAUAUUUUCUUAUAGAGAGACCAUCCAAGGCAUGCCCCUCGGUAAGCAGUGUUGGUGGGUGACCACGGUCACACGCAUGGAGGCUUGCUUUCCCC
rnacentral:lncRNA from 1 species